rnacentral:rRNA from 1 species
AGCGGAAGCUAAAGCCCUUAUCAUGCACCAGUUCCCCCAUGGAUCACUUAGGUUAAGCGAUGUUGAGAGUGAUUAAUAUCCGGAUGGGUGACCAUCUGGGCAAUUACGUGCACCAUCUG